rnacentral:rRNA from 1 species
GAUGAACGCUGGCGGCGUGCCUAAUACAUGCAAGUCGAGCGAACAGAUAAGGAGCUUGCUCCUUUGACGUUAGCGGCGGACGGGUGAGUAACACGUGGGUAACCUACCUAUAAGACUGGAAUAACUCCGGGAAACCGGGGCUAAUGCCGGAUAACAUUUAGAACCGCAUGGUUCUAAAGUGAAAGAUGGUUUUGCUAUCACUUAUAGAUGGACCCGCGCCGUAUUAGCUAGUUGGUAAGGUAACGGCUUACCAAGGCAACGAUACGUAGCCGACCUGAGAGGGUGAUCGGCCACACGGGAACUGAGACACGGUCCAGACUCCUACGGGAGGCAGCAGUAGGGAAUCUUCCGCAAUGGGCGAAAGCCUGACGGAGCAACGCCGCGUGAGUGAUGAAGGUCUUCGGAUCGUAAAACUCUGUUAUUAGGGAAGAACAAAUGUGUAAGUAACUGUGCACGUCUUGACGGUACCUAAUCAGAAAGCCACGGCUAACUACGUG